rnacentral:rRNA from 1 species
UACGUAGGGGGCGAGCGUUGUCCGGAGUUACUGGGCGUAAAGCGUACGCAGGCGGUCUGUUAAGUUUGGAGUGACAGUUGGUGGCUCAACCACCAAAGUGCUUUGAAAACUGAUAGACUUGAGGGCUUCAGAGGGACACGGAAUUCCGGGUGGAGUGGUGAAAUGCGUAGAGAUCCGGAGGAACACCAAAGGCGAAGGCAGUGUCCUGGGGAGUACCUGACGCUCAGGUGCGAAAGCCAGGGGAGCGAACGGG